rfam:Myotis brandtii contig250878, whole genome shotgun sequence.
GAUGGUUCGCGGGUGACACCCCCCAGAAUCAGGCUCCCUCCUCUCUGGUUCCGGGUGCAUCACCCGAGAACCGCA